GAAAUGCGAUAAGUAAUGUGAAUUGCAGAAUUCAGUGAAUCAUCGAAUCUUUGAACGCACCUUGCGCUCCUUGGUAUUCCUUGGAGCAUGCCUGUUCGAGCGUCAUUUGUACCCUCAAGCUCUGCUUGGUGUUGGGUGUUUGUCCCGUCUCCGCGCGUGGACUCGCCCCAAAGUGAUUGGCAGCCGGCGUACUGGUCCCGGAGCGCAGCACAUGUUGCGCAAACGAGUGCCUUGGUACGGCGGCGUCCAUAAGCCCCUCUCUCACGCUCUUGACCUCGGAUCAGGUAGGGAUACCCGCUGAACUUAAGC
rnacentral:misc_RNA from 1 species